CAUCAGCAGCUUCAGACAACAAAAGUCAAUUUCCUGCUCAUGCCACGUCUCCGGGGACUCACCACUUUAGCCUGCUUCACUCCUGUGCCCCUCCGUGAGCACCAUGGCAAUGGCAGUGUGUGGAAAACUGCACACCAAACCCUAAACCCUUUCUCUUAGAAAUGACACGGAGCACUUCUCACGUCUCACUGGCCAAAGGAAGUCACGUGGUCCUCACCUAACUUUAAGGGGGUCAACUUAUGCUUCAGCCAAGAUCAGUCAGCUCCAGGCACCGAUCAUCUAUACUCUUCCGUGACACAGGAGCCGGGAAGUGUCUUCCAUCUUGAUUCUAUUCUGGGAAUACAGCAGCCAUUAAUAAGUAAGGUUUCAUCAACACAGAGAAUUUGCUGAUUUGGUUGACAUUGAUGGUCAUUCUCCACUCGAGGAGUGAAAAUGUGUCUAUGAAGAAUGAAAUAUUUCAGUGAGAUCCAAGUGUCCCAUGUUUUCCCCCAUAAUUGCCUGAAUUAUGCUUUUGACAAAGAAUUUUGUCUUCAAGGGAAUGUUGAAAUGUAGCAUAAUGAAUAAAAAUAUGUCCACAAACAGAGGGGAAAAAGCACUGGUGUCAGUGUGAACAAAUAAAAUUAUGGUUUUCU